GAGAGUAUAGCUCAGUGGUAGAGCGCAUGCUUAGCAUGCACAAGAUCCUGGGUUCAAUCUCCAGUACCUCCA
rnacentral:tRNA from 1 species